UUCAACAAGCCUGCCCAAUCG
rnacentral:misc_RNA from 1 species